rnacentral:siRNA from 1 species
GCAUGUCACUAUUAUUGUUACC